CUGCGGCCUAUCAGUUUGUUGGUGAGGUAAUGGCCCACCAAGACUAUUACAGGUACGGGCUCUGAGAGGAGUAGCCCGGAGAUGGGUACUGAGACACGGACCCAGGCCCUAUGGGGUGCAGCAGGCGAGAAAACUUUGCAAUGUGCGAAAGCACGACAAGGUUAAUCCGAGUGGUUUCUGCUAAAGGAAUCUUUUAUCAGUCCUAGAAACACUGAUGAAUAAGGGGUGGGCAAGUUCUGGUGUCAGCCGCCGCGGUAAAACCAGCACCUCAAGUGGUCAGGAUGAUUAUUGGGCCUAAAGCAUCCGUAGCCGGUUCUGUAAGCUUUCGGUUAAAUCUGUACGCUUAACGUACAGGCUGCCGGGAAUACUGUAGAACUAGGGAGUGGGAGAGGUAAACGGUACUCAGUAGGAAGGGGUAAAAUCCUUUGAUCUAUUGAUGACCACCUGUGGCGAAGGCGGUUUACCAGAACACGU
rnacentral:rRNA from 2 species